rnacentral:lncRNA from 1 species
CAAAGGACCUGGAAUUUUGAGUUGCAUUAACAAUACUAGCUCUGCGAAUUUGGACAAAAGCUCGGUAGGAGUCCAGCCGAGUGGCAGCAGCAGCAAACCAAGGCCUGGAAUUCACAUUUUAGAACCAGAGUCUUCAGCUCCUUCUUCAAGGUAGGCUAUACCUUUGAUGUUGUGUUCAUUCUUAACACGUCUAGUAAUUUAGGGUGUUUGUGUGUACUUACUUAAAAUUUGUGUGUGUUUUGAUGCCAGUCGUCAGGGCCUAGCGUCUGGAAGUCGACAGAUGACCAU